AACCGCCGUUAAACUCAUCGAAUAAUUAAGAUGGGCAGGGGAAGAGGUGGUGCUACGGUUACUGCGAUACAUUUCUAAAGAAACAGUUGCAAAGACCAGCCAGGGAAUCAAGAACCGAUGCAGAUCUUUUGGAGAAAAAAAAUAGUGCAGGGUUGCAGUUCUAAACCGAUGCCUCGUCAAAGGAAAAUCCAUUGAUCAAGGAAUCGGUUAUAAAACCUCAUUCAAAGGACAUUUUCGGGUUAACAUAAAAUGAAUGUCCUACCCAAACAGAAAUAUUCUCCGAAUAAAGGUCUUUGUGAGAAGUAUUUCCACAACCAAAGCCUCUGCUGCUACGUCUGAGCCUCCUGCCAAAUACUGGAAAGGACAAGAGAGAGAGAACACAGCUAACGACCUCACAACACCAAAUCACAACCAAUUCUCAGACCCAGAAUCUAAGGUAACACUUUGAACAGAACCCAGUCAUGUUCCGAAAGCUCACCAGUCUGUUUUUUGGACGAGAUGAGGACAUCCCUACAGACCAGAGGACAUCCAAGCCUGCAGAAAUGCUUGAGGAAGGGUGGUUUCUGGUCAACCAUCAAGAAGCUAUCAAUGAAGUGAGCUCAGUGGAGGAGCCGGUGGUGGAGUGUGCCAAUACGUCUAUCUACAGAUGUCCCUCCAACCUAACUGUCACUGGGGAGAGUGAACCCAUCUCAGAAACUGACGUCAGGUGAGAGAAACAGACUGUUGUGUGUUUGACACAGGAAGUUGUCAAAAGCAUUUUUACAAUAUCAAUGUUCUACCACUGAUUCCACAUUUUGAUUGUCCGCUUGUUUGUGAACAAUUGUGGGUGUGCAUUUGUAGGCUUACAAUUGUGUCUUUCUCUGCGGCAUGUCAGAACCAGAGCUCCCAGUCCAAAGAAGCGCCACAAUAAUUCGCGAAUCAGUGUCCAUGGCUGGACAGCUGGCUAAGGUGACGCAGGUGGCCCGUGUCCAGAGGGCUCAGACCUGGGUGGACCGCCGCCACCUCACACGGAGCUGCAUCCAGCGGCAGAACUGUGUCUGCCUGAGAGCUCAGCGCCACUCUUCCCACACAACCUACCUCCAACAGCCAGGACACCGCAACUUCAGCCACUGAAUACCCAACAGCAGUUAACACAAGAACAACAGGAACCUUCAAUCUGCUCGCACCACACACACACACACUCACAAAUGCACCAUAAAUUGAUUGACAGCAUGCUUCAGCACAGAGAAAUAGUCAUAACUAGUGUAGAUUAAGCUAUUCCCCCAAAUGAAUCCUAAUCUACCCCAAUUGAUACAAAACACUAGGCUUGUUAGUCAGAAUUGUAACCUGUUCACUGGCAGCUAAAAUUACUUUUGAACCUGCACUAUAUACUGUAUGACAAGAGAUGGUAAACUCCAUAUCAAAUGAGAUACAUUUGUACGCUUGAUAGUGUGUGGCCAGAGAAAACCACUGUCAGUAGCUAGGUUUCCAUCCAAAUGGCAACAAAUGUAAAUGCGAAUAUUCUAAAAUCCGCAUAAAAACAAUAUGCACAUUUUCUCACCAGAGAUUUUUCCAUCAAAUUGACAUGUUGCAGAUAAGUCUGUGCGUGAUGACAUAGUGCACAUAAAGAUACCUUUUGCGGUUCAAUUUCCAUGUACCAAAUAAAAAACUACAAAUUAAAUGGUUUCCAUCGCAUUUAACUCUACUGAUGGUUUUCUCACAAAAGAUAUUACGAUAUAUCCGCAGAUAUCAGAUUGCGGGCUUUUGGCUAGAGCGCAUGUAUAGUUUACAUGAUGAGACUACUGAGGACAACAUAUCUAGAUUAUUUUUUAUUUUUAAAACGUUAGACAAGCAUCGACCAUCAUGUCACCAGAAUAAGAUCCUCAAUAUUUAUCGGAAAGUAGCAUCAAACUCAUCACCUUGCACUUUCACCACCCUGUGAAGUUCAUCACAAUUUAUUUCAUCUGUAGCCUAAUAAACUGUCGUAGUGGGAGGACCACACAACAGGCUUUUAUAUCAAUAUUUAAGCAUAAAAGCAUUUCCACUGACAUUUCUUGCAUACUUAAUUUUACCGACACAAAAAAUAUCUUGUCUGGCGUAUUUUGUUUAGUCAACAUUUGGAAAGUUUACGGAAAAAUGUUCUGUUUCCAUCGGGCCUGUCAUGACAUUUUUUAACCGACAAACAUUUUACUCACGUAAAAACGUUGGAUAGAAACCUGGCUAGUGACACGCACAUUUCUGUGCAAAGCCUAUGCAAAAGAAAUAUCUAACAUAUGUUGAGGGAAAUGAAAAGGUAUUGUAUGUACAGGAUGUAUUUUGUCAGAUUGUCGUGUGGGGGUUAAAACAUUUCAUAUAGCAAUAAAAACAAUGAUGACCUACCUACAUGAUUGCACCAUUGUUCCAUUAUUCGAUUAUAAUGCCAAAGCUGAGGUAGAAAUGCAAGAUCUGGGCUAUUUGGUGACCAAAUAGUAAUGUUAUCCAAUUUUUUAAAUGUUAUGUGAAACAGUGUGAAAGCCGGUUAUAAAAACAGCUGGGUAUAGUAAAAAAAAAAAAAGCUCCUCCCACCAACCUCUGAUGUGAGUCCUGAGCCUUAAACCUAGCAGUGGUCAAUCACAAGUUGUUGACAAGAGCUUUGAUGGCUUA